UACGUAGGGUGCAAGCGUUGUCCGGAAUUAUUGGGCGUAAAGAGCUCGUAGGUGGUUUGUCGCGUUGUCCGUGAAAACUCACAGCUUAACUGUGGGCGUGCGGGCGAUACGGGCAGACUGGAGUACUGCAGGGGAGACUGGAAUUCCUGGUGUAGCGGUGGAAUGCGCAGAUAUCAGGAGGAACACCGGUGGCGAAGGCGGGUCUCUGGGCAGUAACUGACGCUGAGGAGCGAAAAGCGUGGGGAGCGAACAGG
rnacentral:rRNA from 1 species